rnacentral:sRNA from 1 species
CGCGUGGCUUACUACUUAUACAACAUCAGAGAAUUCAUACUGGUGAGAAACCAUAUCAAUGUAAGGAAUGUGGGAAAGCCUUUAUUCGUGGUUCACAGUUGACUCAACAUCAGCGAAUUCACACUGGAGAAAAACCCUAUGAAUGCAAGGAGUGUGGCAAGGCCUUUAGUCAUGGCUCUCAGCUUACUCUACAUCAGAGAAUCCAUACUGGUGAGAAGCCCUAUGAAUGCAGAGAAUGUAGAAAGGCCUUUACUCAGAGCUCACAUCUUUCUCGGCAUCAGAGAAUUCAUACUGCUGGAGCUCCGAUACUCUCAUGGGGACUUUGAGAAUGGUAUCUGGGUGUUAUGGAUCAUGGAGCAGAAAUACAGAAGGAGUCUGAAACCCUGAUGACUUUGUGGAACAGCCAUACUAGCUCUGGUCUGCUUGCCUCCUGUGUUUCUUUAAUAAAAUCAAACAUCUUAUUU